GUGAGGGCGACUUUUGAGGGGCGGGUCAGCGGGGUUGGGGGGCUUUUUGAAGGAGAGCAAUGCGAGCCUGGCUGUCAGUAGGGCCGGGGGCUCUGAGGGGACAGCUGGGUUGCGGGGAUCCAGAGGGAGAGCAGCAGGGUUAGGUGGGCGUUUUGUGGGGUUAACGGAAGCCUGGGUGAUUAGCGCGGCUGGGGAGGGAGUCCUGAGGAGGACAGCGGUUUGGAGAAUCUCAAGGGGGGUACAGCACAGUUAGGGGGACCCUGAGGGAGGACAGCGGGGUUGGGGGACCCCAAGGGAGGACAGCGGGGUUGGGGGGACCCCGAGGGAGGACAGCGGAGUUGGGGGACCCCGAGGGAGGAUAGCGGGGUUAAGGGGACCCCAAGGGAGGACAGUGGAGCUGGGGGUGUUUUGGAAGAAUCAACGGAUGCCUGGAGGGGUUGUCAGUGGGCUCCUACGGGCUCGUUAGGAUUGGAAGUACCUAAGGGGGGCACUCCCAGUGGUGGGGAGUCCUAGCGGGGAGAGUCCAAGAAAUGGAGAGGGCAGGGUCUGUCACCUGAGAAAAAAGAAGCAGCAUCAGGGAGUGGUGGGGGGAUCACUUCAUCCCAGGAGUUCAGGACCACCAGUCUGGGCAACAUAGCAAGACCCCAUCUCUACAAAACAUUUUUUAAAAUGAGCAGGGCAUGGAGGCGCCUGCCUGUGGUCCCAACUCCUCCAGAGGCUGAGGUGGGAGGAUGACUUGAGCCUGGGAGGUCCAGGCUGCGGUGAGCUAUGAUCAUGCCUCCAGAGGCUGAGGUGGGAGGAUGACUUGAGCCUGGGAGGUCCAGGCUGCAGUGAGCUAUAAUCAUGCCACUGCACUCCAGCCUGGACAACAGAGCAAGACUCUGUCUCAAAAUAACAACAACAAAAAAAGAGGCAGCAUAGACUUCAGAAAGGUGGGUCUGGGAAAAAUGAAUCAUAUACCUCUCCAGUGGUCUCAGACACCCCAACAUAGAUACCAUCAGAUCCCCUAAACACAGGCACCCAGGCAGGUGCCAUCAGAUACCCAAAACAGGCUUCCAGGUAACCCCCAAAUAUGUCAGACACUCCACAUAGGUCCAGCAGAUACCCCCAAACACAUACUAGAUAACCCCAAUACAGAUGCUGUCAGAUACCCUCAAACAGGUGCUCAGAGUCUGAAACACAUACCAUACCCUCCCCUAUCCACUUCCACACAGGUGCUAUUUGGCAGAUGUGGAUAGGCCAGAUGCUUCCCCCAGCACCAGCAACCUCUCAAUUGCCAUCAGACACCCCAGUCUUGAGGUUGCCUGUCUAAUCCAAGUCCUGCCACAGGGGAGGCAGUUGAACAGUAACCAGGAGUCGAGCAGAACAGCUCUCACCAAGGUUGGCUGGUCAGCCAGGCCUAGAAGAUCUCCCCAUGGCCAGGCAAGACGGCUCAUGCCUGUAAUCCUAACACUUUGGGAGUCUGAGGAGGGAGGAUCACUUGAGUCCAGGAGCUUUGAGAUCAGCCUGGGAAACCUCGCAUGACCCAGUCUCUAUUUUAGAAAAAAAGAUUUCCCCAAACCCAAUCACUUCAAAACAUGCACAAUAUGUUGUUGAGAGUCCCCAGUUCAGAAGCUGGAGGGUUGCGUCCCCAGGUGGACUAGCCUUCAGUUCAAGUCCAACCUUCAUGGUCCAGAGGAAGGGAGCAUGUUCAGGGAAUUGGAUGUCCCAGAAAUGCAAGACGUAAUUCACCAGGCACCCUACUGCAGCUGAGGUCAGAAACUCUAACACGGGAGUUUAUGAGGGCUCAAUGGUUGGGCAGCUGUGUAGCUGUGGCUUAUGGACUUAGGGGCAUGAACCUUAUUUUUUUUCCUUUUUUUUUUUUUUUUUUUUUUUUUGAGACAGGAUCUCACUCUGUCACUUAGGCUGGAAGUGCAGUGGCACAAUCAUAGCUCAUUGCAGCUUCCAUCUCCUGGGCUCAAGUUGUCCUCCCACCUCAGCCUCCCAAGUAGCUGGGACCACAGGCACACACCACCACGUCUGGCUAAUUUUUUUGUAGAGACAGAGUUUCGCCAUGUUGCCUAGAUUGGUCUCGAACUCCUGAGCUCAAGUGAUCUGCCCGCCUGGGCCUCCUAUGAUGCCAGGAUUGUAGGUGUGAGCCAUCAUGCCCGGCCUUUGAACCUUAUUUCUUUCUUUCUCUUUUUCUUUCUUUUUUUUUUUUUUUCUUUCUUGAGACAGAGUCUCACUCUGUCACCCAGGCUGCAGUGUAGUGGUACCAUCUAGGCUCACUGCAGCCUCCACCUCCUGGGUUCAAGUGAUCCUCCUGCCUCAGCCUCCCGAGUGCUGGAAUUACAGCUUUGCAGAGGCAAGCGUCUAUGAUUUAAAUGCUAGCUUUGCCGCUUACUGGCUGAAAGACUUUAAAUGACAAUAACAAAAAAUGAAGAGGAUGAUGAUGAUGAUACAAGAUACCAUUGCCCGUGUGUACCAGACAUCAUGCUAAGUGAGUGCUACCCACAUCAUUUUUCUUUCUUUUCUUUUCUUUUCUUUUUUCUUUUUUUUUUUUUUUUGAUACAGAGUCUCGCUCUGUCACCCAGGCUGAAGUGCAGUGGCGCAAUCUUGCCUCACUGCAACCUCCACCUCUUGGGUUCAAGGGAUCCUCCCACCUGAGCCUCCUGAGUAACUGCGAUUACAGGCAUGUGCCACCAUGCCCCGCUAAUUGUUUUGUGUUUUUAAUGGAGAUGGGGUCUUACCAUGUUGGCCAGGCUGGUCUCAAACUCCUGACCUCAAGUGAUCCUCCCACCUUGGUCUCCCAAAGUGCUGGGAUUACAGGUGUAAGCCACCACGCCCAGCCUUUACCCACAUUAUUUCUUUUUUCUUUUUAGGAACAGGGUCUUGCUCUGUGGCACAGGCUAGAGGGCAGUGGCAAAUCAUAGCUAACUGUAGCUUUGAACACCUGGGCUCAAGCAAUGCUGCCACCUCAGCCUCCCGAGUAGCUAGGAUUAUAGGCGAGUGCCACCACACCUGGCUAACUUUUAAACAUUUUUUUUGUAGAGACGAGGGUCUCACUAUAUUGCCCAGACUCCUGAACUCAAGGGAUCCUCCUGCCUCAGCCUCCCAAAGCGCUGAGAUUACAGGAGUGAGCUUCCGCGCCCGGCCCCACAUCAUUUCUUUCACACAAACUCAAAUCUUUCUUGACCUCAAAGGGUUGUCCUGCAAAUCAAAAUCAAAUGAUGUCUCCAGGAGAAAGAGCUUAAUUCCCACCACCCUGAGAGUGGGCUGGAUGUCACGACUCGUGGGCGGAUCGCUUGAGGCCAGGAGUUCGAGACCAGCCUGGCCAACACGGCGAAACCCUGUCUCUACUAAAAAUACAAAAAAUUAGCCAGGCAUGGUGGCAUACGCCUGUAAUCCCAGCUACUCGGGAGGCUGAGACAGGAGAGUAGCUUGAACCCAGGAGGUGGAGGUUGCAGUGAGCCAAGAUUGUGCCACUGCACUCCAGCCUGGGUGACACAGCAAGACUCCAUCUCAAAAAAAAAAAAAUAAGUAAAUAAGAAAGAAAGAAAGGAAGGAAGGAAGGAAGGGAGGAAGGAAGAAGGAAGGAAGGAAGGAAGAAAAUGUAGGGUGGAUGCAGUGGCUCACACCUGUAAUCCCAGCACUUUGGGAGGCUGAGGUGGGUGGAUCGCUUGAGCCCAGGAGUUCAAGACCAACUUGGGCAAUGUGACAAAACCCUGUUUCUACAAAAAAAAAAAAAAAAAAAAAAAUUAUCCUGGUAUGAUGGCAUGCACUUCUAGUCCCAGCUACUUGGGAGGCUAGGGUGGGAGGAUUGCUUGAGCCCAGGAGGCAGAGGUUGUAGUGAACCAAGAUCACGCCACUGCACCCCAGCCUGGGCAACAGAGCGAGACUCUGUCUCAAAAAAAAAAAAAAAAUUAGCCUGGUGUGGUGCUACGAGACUGUAGUCCCUGCUACUCGGGAGGCUGAAGUGGGAGGAUCUCUUGAGCCCAAGAAGUCGAGGCUGCAGUAAGCUGUGAUCGUGCCACCGCACUCCAGCC
rnacentral:lncRNA from 10 species